rnacentral:rRNA from 1 species
CCUACGGGUGGCAGCAGUGAGGAAUAUUGGUCAAUGGGCUUAAGCCUGAACCAGCCAAGUCGCGUGAGGGAAGACGGUCCUAUGGAUUGUAAACCUCUUUUAUCGGGGAGCAAAAGACGCCACGCGUGGCGUUCCGAGAGUACCCGAAGAAAAAGCAUCGGCUAACUCCGUGCCAGCAGCCGCGGUAAUACGUAGGAGGCAAGCGUUAUCCGGAUUUACUGGGUGUAAAGGGAGCGUAGACGGCAUGGCAAGGCUGUUGUGAAAGUCCGGGGCUCAACCCUGGGAUUGCAUUGGAAACUGGCAGGCUAGAGUGUCGGAGAGGUAAGUGGAAUUCGUAGUGUAGCGGUGAAAUGCGUAGAUAUUAGGAGGAACACCAGUGGCGAAGGCGGCUUGCUGGACGAUGACUGACGUUGAGGCUCGAAAGUGUGGGGAGCAAACAGGAUUAGAUACCCGUGUAGUC